rnacentral:lncRNA from 1 species
CUUCCAUCCUGCUUCAAUCAUCAGACUUGGUUGCAAACGUCCUUCCCUGGAUUCUCACCAGCCCUUGACUGCUCUAUUGGCUGUUGUUAACUCCAACACCAAACAAAAGUCUCACAAAUGUUGUCCUGGGCAAAGGACUGUCCUCCACGCAGUGAGGCCAACAGUCUCCACCCCAGCACCGGCCACUUGGAACACUCUGUCAGUGCCUUGAGGAAGCUGCACAGCAACCACAGCUGCUUGCUGCCGGCAGACAACUCCAGGCCUAGAAGGCACCCUCCCGUUUGUGACUGCUUCAAAGCAGCUUGCACCAGACUUUUCACCAUCACAGACCUUGAGGAACUCUAGAAGUCCCUACAGCCAUUUCCACUCCUGCCAGAAGAGAUAAUCUGCCCUGGUGGUGUAAGAAGGGGACAACUGCUGGUAUUAGUGCAUGCCUCUACCUUUACUGCGGGCUGCGGUGACUGGUGCCAGAUGUGGCUCAGAGUUUGAGUGAAGGACUGUCAUGUUUGGCACAGAUAGCCUUGACCUGUUCCCUUAUGGUUUGAAUCUGAAAUGUCCCCCCAGAGGUUCACAUGUUUUUAAUACCUUGUCCCAGAUACCAGCACCGUUGUGUAUGGUUGUGGAAUCUUCAGGUGUUAGGGCUGGUUGGUGGAUGAGGGUCACAGAUGGGCGGGUCUUUGGGGCGAUAGACAGCCUGACUUCCAGUAUCACUCUCCACUUUCUGGUUGGUAACCACAUUGAACAAGCCUACACUACAACCUGUCACAGAAGAGCCACUCUGCCAUGCCUUCCUGGUUGUGACAGGGCCAAACUAAACCCCACUCCUCUGUUUCUACUAGGUAUUUAGUCACAAUGAGAAGGACAGCAUCUAACAGACCUCUUUCUAGCUACAUGAGCAGGCUCUUAGAUAACUUUUUGAGUCACUAGGUAGACACCUCCCUGUGCUGAGCCCUUCGCCACGCUAUAACAUUAGGCUCAAUAAGUGGCUUCUCUCCAGUGGCCUUUCCUUGCCUACUACCGACCUUCAUAAUUAAUAGAAUAAGUUGAGCUCGUAACACGAAGAGAGGGUGACAGACAUGGCAGCAGAGUGGUGUCAGUGGGCAUAGCAGUUGCAGGAACAACAGCAGCAGGAGCCUUGAGAAGACAGCCAGAGUUCUAGAUAGUGGUCAGGCCAGAAACAACAGGAAACAGAGGUGUUGAGGGCUGGGAAAAGCUUAAGGACAAGAAGUUACAGGCCCUAGUCACUAAGGAGAAGCCAAGGUUUAAGGGUCAAGGGUCUCAACACCCUAGUUCCAGAGAUGCAAUACUUACUACUGUAGAGCUGACGGGCACAGCAUGUAAGGCCUGCUCAAGAACGGAAGCCACUGCCUCUCAUUGCUGCUAAAGCCAACAGUUUACAACGGCUGCUGAAUGCCAGCACUUAAAAGCCAGAACAUUAAGCCUUCAAGAUGUGCCCAUAAAUUUCUUGAUUCUAAUUCUGUAGCAUAGGCCCCUAACUCUCAGGGCUUAAUGGAGUCCCAAGCCCUAGACCUUGAGUGCUUUAAAGGCCAGGAUGGCCAGCACUGGGCUAAUGUUUCCUCUCUGACUCACAAUUGAUUCUUGUAUUUAUUUUCUUUUCUCCUCUUCCUCCUCUUCCUCUUCCCCCUCCUCCUCCCUUCCUAAGUUUCAUGUAGCCCAGGUUGACCUCAAAUUCACUUUGUAGCCUUUAAUCCUCCUGCCUCUACCUCCCAAGUACUGGAAUUACAGGUAUGUGCCACCACAGAUUUUUAACUCUAAUUUCUAUCUGGGUCGAAUAAAAGAACCCCAGCCAACAGAUUAGUAGCAUCAGCAAGAUACUAACAGCUAAUAAUAAACCAGCAAGAGUUAUUUGAAACUAUAGCUUUCCCAGCCAGGUGGUGGCACACACCAUUGAUCCCAGCAGAGACAGGCAAAUCUCUGUGAGUUAGAGGCCAACCUGGUCUACAGUGCAAGUUCCAGGAUAGCUGGGGCUAUACAAAGAAACCCUGCCUCAAAAAAACCAACCAACCAAACAGAACUCUAUGGAUCGCCCACUGGUGAAACAGUGGCACGAGCGUUUUGGGAUAACUAACUACUGUCCAAUUGGAUUUGAAGCUCCAUCCAUGGGAGAAAUUCACGACUGGUACUGUAAACCUACUAGCCCAUGGCUAGUAGCAGGGAAACGACUAUUGUUGUUUUGUGGAAGACAUGCCAAACUACCUUCUAAAUGUUUGCUUAUAUUUGUUUAUAUCCAUCUGUCCUAGGUAGGGUUUAUUGUUACUGUGACGAAACACCAUGACCAAGGCAUGGGGAGGAAGGGGAUUAUUUGGCUUAUACUUCCAUAUCACUGUUCAUCACCAAAGAAAAUCAGAACAGGGCAGGAAACUGGAAGUAGGAGUGGAUGCAGAGGCCAUGGAGGGGGCCUACUUAGCUUGGUCCUCGUGGCUUAGUCAGCCUGCUUUCUUAUGGCGCCCAGGACCACCAGCUAACCCGUAAUGGGCUAGGUCUUCCUUCAUCAAUCACUAAUUAAGAAAAUGCCUUACAGCUGGAUCUCAUGGAGGCGUUUCCUCGGUUGAGGCUCCCUCCUCCCAGAUGACUCUAGCUUGUGUCAAGUUGAUGUGAAACUAGACAGCACACCUCGGUUAGUUAGUACAGUUAGUUAGUACUUACAACCUUGGUCACAGAUCCUUCUUUCUAUACUGGGCAGUUAAUACAAGAUUCAUUACUGGUCAAAGCACUGAGAAGAGCCUGUUAAGUGCUAAGAAGACAUCUAUAUUACCACCCCAAAGACUCAGGGCAUACUACAUUGCAGAUGAGGAAGCUGGGAGAAUGUUAUACCCAAAGACUAGGGGCAGUGCUGUUCUGGGCACGUCAUGGUUCUGUCACUCACUAAGUCACAGCAGCUGUGGCCACCUGCACACAAUGGGACCCAUCAACACUCCAGCACACACAGAGGAGCACAUGAGUCCCCCCCACACGCAUACACACACACUCCCGAGGAGAUACUUGCAGUUAAUGGCUACUAGGGGUCAGGGGGUCAUUUUUCUUGGGGUGUGGGUAUGCAGUGCUGAAGCAGCCUCCAUCUUAGGCUUUAAAGCCAUCUUACAGUAAGGACACAGUGGGCUCGUUCUUGUUUGAUUAAACCUGUUUCUCAAGAAUGGGCUAAGCCGGGGCUGGUGAGAUGGCUCAGUGGGUAAGAGCACCCGACUGCUCUUCCAAAGGUCAGGAGUUCAAA